AAGGAUCAUUACCGAAUUGUCAACAAGAGUUGUUGCUGGCCCCUGUAUGGGGGCAUGUGCACACUCUGUUCACACAUCCACUCACACCUGUGCACCCUCUGUAGUUCUAUGGCCUGGGUGGGCUCUGUCCCCCCGCUGUGGUUCUACGUCUUUACACACACUACAAUGAAGUCUCAUGGAAUGCAUGUCGCGUUUAACGCAAUGAAAUACAACUUUCAGCAACGGAUCUCUUGGCUCUC
rnacentral:misc_RNA from 1 species